GGACAGGGCAGGGCCAGACGUACGGAGGGACUCCACAUGAAGCCAGGAGGACUGUGACGCCACGAAGAACACGUUUCCUGUGGUGAGAAGAUGAUUUUCCUGGUGGACAAGUGUGACUCGGGAAAAUGCUGUCUCCUCCUGGCAGAUUCCUUGGAGCCCCAAGGCAGACGUGUUGUGGAGCGGACGAAUCUCCCCCCUGGGCCAGCUGGGGCACAUGGCUGAUGAGCCUGCUCAGUGUCUCCGUGUCUGUGACUUUGACAUUGAGCACGUGUUUCCAGGGAUCCAGAAGAGCAUUCAGGGCUCUUGGGGGAAGACUUGCAAGAGUGGCAUGUGAGUGAGGCGGAGGGUACACACGGACCAUCCAGCGCGGGUCCCGGGUCUUGUGACCCUGACAACGGGGUGCGGUUCGCUGAGAAGCGACUGGCACGGGCAGCUCGGGGAGCCCUGAGCGCCUCCUGUCAACCACACAGAAGCCUGGGUCCUUGCGUCCCCUUUAUCAGGGUGCUCGCAGCAGCUGCUACACGGUGAGGCCUGCUUGCAGGUAGGCAUUUCUACUGAAAAUCAGCUAAGAAUGCAGGAUUCUCAGCUUUAAAAACAACCACAAACACUUCAUGGAUUUGUCAGCAUGGGGCCUGCAUCCCCACGGCCAGAGCUGCCUGCAGGGCCACUCCGUCUGCACGCGGCUUGUUUUCCUAGACCUGUGGCCCUGCCCGCUUCGUCGUCAUGUCACCUUCCGGCCUGCUAGCCACUGGAUUGGACCCUACUUCCUGGCGGAGGGUUCAGGCCCCCGUCUGCAUCUCAUUGGCGUUCGUGCCUCAGGAAGCAAAUGUGUCGUGUUACUGAGUCAUGACAUGACACACACAGACCUCCGUUAGUCACACGGGCGCUCGGUUAGCUAAGAGAUUGGAAGGGAGAUCCCCUGCAAAGGUUGCUUCAGCUGUGGGACUGUGCUUUUCUACUGAGAAAAGACCAUACAUCGGAGUUAAUAUAAUUCACGAUAAAAGCAUGAAAACACACACUGCUUUGUCGAGACAUGGAACCACGCAGUUGUUAAAAAUGUCCGUAAAUUCUACGAGAUGCUAACUACAGUGUAGAUCAAAGUCUUAUUCUCACAGUUAAUUAUUGUGAAUGUGGGUGUAAAAGGCAGGAUCACUGCAUGGAGAUGCCCCUGUCACAAGGUCUACGAUGGAACCAUGUCACUAAAUGUGCCCUCCACCUCCUUUGUCUUAUUUUUGAAACCACAAAAGCCCACGUAAUGCGAUGCAGCCCAGGCUGCCCGUCCUGCGUGGGUCUGGCGCACGGGGCAGCGCGAGCACUCGGCAUCUGUGGGCUCCCGGCGGCUCCGUCAGGAGGUCUGAGUCCGUUCUGCGAUUUUUUUCCAGUUGAAGCAUGUGUGCCCAAGUCACCAGGCCCUUGUUGGUGCAUCAGCAGACUGGAAAACCCUGCCUUACGUUUCCAUGUGGACCAGUGUCUUCACAGCGGA